GAUGAACGCUAGCUACAGGCUUAACACAUGCAAGUCGAGGGGAAACGGCAUCGAAAGCUUGCUUUUGAUGGGCGUCGACCGGCGCACGGGUGAGUAACGCGUAUCCAACCUGCCCAUCACUUGGGAAUAACCUUGCGAAAGUAAGACUAAUGCCCAAUGACAUCCCACGAAGGCAUCCGAAUGGGAUUAAAGAUUUAUCGGUGAUGGAUGGGGAUGCGUCUGAUUAGCUUGUUGGCGGGGUGACGGCCCACCAAGGCAACGAUCAGUAGGGGUUCUGAGAGGAAGGUCCCCCACAUUGGAACUGAGACACGGUCCAAACUCCUACGGGAGGCAGCAGUGAGGAAUAUUGGUCAAUGGGCGAGAGCCUGAACCAGCCAAGUAGCGUGCAGGAGGACGGCCCUAUGGGUUGUAAACUGCUUUUAUAAGGGAAUAAAGUGGGUCACGUGUGACUUUUUGCAUGUACCUUAUGAAUAAGAACUGGCUAAUUCCGUG
rnacentral:rRNA from 1 species